rnacentral:rRNA from 1 species
AUACGGAGGGUGCAAGCGUUACUCGGAAUCACUGGGCGUAAAGCGCGCGCAGGCGGUCUUUUAAGUUGGAUGUGAAAGCCUACGGCUCAACCGUAGAACUGCAUCCAAAACUAUUAGACUAGAGUGUGGGAGAGGAAGAUGGAAUUAGUUGUGUAGGGGUAAAAUCCGUAGAGAUAACUAGGAAUACCAAAAGCGAAGGCGAUCUUCUGGAACAGUACUGACGCUGAGGCGCGAAAGCGUGGGGAGCAAACAGGAUUAGAUACCCUAGUAGUCC